AUUGAACGCUGGCGGCAUGCCUUACACAUGCAAGUCGAACGGCAGCACGGGUGCUUGCACCUGGUGGCGAGUGGCGUACGGGUGAGUAAUACAUCGGAACAUGUCCUGUAGUGGGGGAUAGCCCGGCGAAAGCCGGAUUAAUACCGCAUACGAUCUACGGAUGAAAGCGGGGGACCUUCGGGCCUCGCGCUAUAGGGUUGGCCGAUGGCUGAUUAGCUAGUUGGUGGGGUAAAGGCCUACCAAGGCGACGAUCAGUAGCUGGUCUGAGAGGACGACCAGCCACACUGGGACUGAGACACGGCCCAGACUCCUACGGGAGGCAGCAGUGGGGAAUUUUGGACAAUGGGCGAAAGCCUGAUCCAGCAAUGCCGCGUGUGUGAAGAAGGCCUUCGGGUUGUAAAGCACUUUUGUCCGGAAAGAAAUCCUUGGCCCUAAUACGGUCGGGGGAUGACGGUGCCGGAAGAAUAAGCACCGGCUAACUACGUG
rnacentral:rRNA from 1 species